rnacentral:rRNA from 1 species
AGCGAACGCUGGCGGCGUGCUUAACACAUGCAAGUCGAGUGCGCGCCUGUAGCAAUACAGGUGGCGCACGGCGCACGGGUGCGUAACACGUGGGCAAUCUGCCCUCGGAUGGGGGAUAACUCGCCGAAAGGCGAGCUAAUACCGCAUGACAUUCCGAAGACUCCGGUCUUUGGACUCAAAGGCCGCAAGGCCGUCUGAGGAGGAGCCCGCGCCCGAUUAGCUAGUUGGUGAGGUAACGGCUCACCAAGGCUUUGAUCGGUAGCCGGUCUG